rnacentral:rRNA from 1 species
GAUGAACGCUAGCGGCAGGCUUAACACAUGCAAGUCGAGGGGCAGCAUAAUGAAGUAGCAAUACGGAAUUGAUGGCGACCGGCGCACGGGUGCGUAACGCGUAUGUAACCUACCUCUAACAGGGGGAUAACACUGAGAAAUUGGUACUAAUACCCCAUAACACUUGAUAGGGCAUCCUAUUGAGUUGAAAGUUCCGGCGGUUAGAGAUGGACAUGCGUUGUAUUAGCUAGAUGGUGAGGUAACGGCUCACCAUGGCGACGAUACAUAGGGGGACUGAGAGGUUAACCCCCCACACUGGUACUGAGACACGGACCAGACUCCUACGGGAGGCAGCAGUGAGGAAUAUUGGUCCAAUGGACGCAAGUCUGAACCAGCCAUGCCGCGUGCAGGAUGACGGCUCUAUGAGUUGUAAACUGCUUUUGUACAAGGGUAAACCCCGAUACGUGUAUCGGGCUG